ensembl:lncRNA
GCCUAGACUGGAUGGAACACAGAGCAGAGAAGCCUUGAACUUGAGUGGGGCCUGAGGAAUGGCCAGAAGCAGGCAUGUGUUCCACGUGUAUGCAAAUGUACCACGAGGGCCGGCAGGCACCUGGCCACGUGAGGCUGGGCCCUGGGGGGAGAGGGAGCAGGAGGGAAGCACAGGUGUGAGAGCACAGGGCCCCCCUGCGUGGCCGCUAUGGGACCCUAAGGACACCGGCCACGGCAGAGGACGCACGUUAAGGAAUCACGGGAAACUGUUAGCCUGGGAAGCCGCUGUCAGCAGGGGGCUCUCAGGAUUCCCAGAAGAGGGGCAACCUGGACACCGGAUCCUGAUGGGAUCGGGCUGGCUGGGCCUGGUUGGCAGGGUGCCAGGCCCCGAGAGGAGAGGGUGCCCCAGAUCACAGCCUGCCUGUGGGGCCCACGGUGCCCGCACAGCACGGGAACUGGGGGAGGGACAGAAGGACCAGGGCCAGCCGGCCUCCUGCAGAGUGCUUCCAGCGUCUGCUCUCUGCACCCCUGCUGGGGACACAGGAAGGAGAGGUCCCAGCAUGCGUUCAAAAAUGCUAACCUCACUUCGAGGGUGUCCCCGCUGCCAUGGGCGCCUGCCGGAGCCCCCAAGGUGUGGCCUCCCUGCCAUGUGGGACUUGUUUUGGCCUCCGUGCCUGGUUGGGGACAGGGCAGCUCCCCAUGCAGCUGUGGCCUGACGUCUGGCUGGCCUGUCAUCUCCACAACACCCGAAUGGACUUAUGAACCCAGCACCUGACAGCUGGGCCACCGGACAGAGGGGAACAGCGACUGUCCCCACGGAGGCCCAUCCUUCUGCCUGCAUCUCUUGGCCUCGGAAGUGCCCGGCAUCUAGUCUGCCUCGCUGCUCACGGCACCAGCAGGCUCACUGCACUGCAGGGUCUCAGCCUGAGACUCAGCAUCCCCGCCCCAUCCCGCCCCCUCAUCACGGAUGUUCCUGCAAAGACAGAGCCUUGGUCCAGCUCUGCGCAGCGCACAAGCAGACAGCUGUACAUGGGACAUCUCUCGGCCUCACUGUCUCCACCAUCCCAGGGGCAAUGACAGCCCCGGGGACACUGUGAGGAUAAAGGGUCACAGCAAAGCACAGAGCACAGCACUUGGGAGGGUCCCGACUGGGAGCUGGUUCCUCACUGCUCUGUCAUCGUAACCUCGGGCCCCCGCCCAUCCCCUCUGCAGGCAGGAUGUGUGGGACUGCGGACCCUGCCAUCUGAAGACACGUUUUUCAGCUUCUCCACUUGAAAGAGGCCUCGAGAAUGUGGCCAAGGCCCCAGGCUCUGAACAGAGCAGCCCCAGCUCCCUGGAAAAUCACCGCCUAGCCUGCCCUGAAAGUCCUCCAGACAGAAAAGUGCCCGGCUUUCCAGAGGUGACCGGCCCGUCCAUGACCUCCCCCAGGUCCCACCGACGUUUCCCCGCCCCCCCUUUGUUCUCACGACACGGCCUCACAUUCCACUUCUUACUCAAGCCCAUCUCAAGACGCCAGUGACUCAGCCAAGGGUCCGACUCUGUUCCCCAGCCCAGCACCACCACCUGGCACCACCCAGGAGAGAGGCCAGUGCCCAUGUGAGCACAGACACGGUGCUCAUGUCUCAUCCCCACGAAGAAGGGCACUGCCCAGCAUCCCAGCCCCACCCCAGUGUCACCCUACUCAGGCCACGUGGGCUGAGCUGGGGAGGUGUAACUGCAGGGAGGGAACGGCAGAGUCUCUCGUUCACCGAAACCCUGGGGUGUGUGUGCCUGGCCCAGAGCAGGUGCUCGACCUCGAGAAUGAACGAAUGAAUGAAGGAAGACAAGAAUGAAUGAGUGAAUGAUGUGCCAUCACUGAACUCUGCCCUAAUGAAAUUCAGCUCCAUCGAUCGAGCCCCUCCCACAGGCGAGG